CCUACGGGGGGCAGCAGUGGGGAAUAUUGCACAAUGGGGGAAACCCUGAUGCAGCGACGCCGCGUGAGCGAAGAAGUAUUUCGGUAUGUAAAGCUCUAUCAGCAGGGAAGAAAAUGACGGUACCUGAGUAAGAAGCUCCGGCUAAAUACGUGCCAGCAGCCGCGGUAAUACGUAUGGAGCAAGCGUUAUCCGGAUUUACUGGGCGUAAAGGGAGCGUAGGCGGCCUGCCAAGUCUGAUGUGAAAUACCGGGGCUCAACCCCGGGGCUGCAUUGGAAACUGGCAGGCUGGAGGGCCGGAGAGGCAGGCGGAAUUCCAGGUGUAGGAGUGAAAUCCGUAGAUAUCUGGAGGAACAUCAGUGGCGAAGGCGACUAUCUGGCACAUAACUGACGCUGAGGAGCGAAAGCGUGGGUAGCAAACAGGAUUAGAUACCCGUGUAGUC
rnacentral:rRNA from 1 species